AGCGAACGCUGGCGGCAGGCUUAACACAUGCAAGUCGAACGGGCACUUCGGUAUCGGUUGCUGACGGGUGAGGAACGUGUUGGAAGGGUGCCUUAGGUUUGGGAUACUGCUGGGUAACUAGCGCUAAUAUCGGGUACGUCAUGUUGAGACAGGGUUUACUGCCGAAGGAUCGGCCCGCGUCUGAUUAGCUAGUUGGUAGGGUAAUGGCCUACGAAGGCGACGAUCAGUAGCUGGGCUGAGAGGAUGAUCGGCCACACUGGGACUGAGACACGGCCCAGACUCCUACGGGAGGCAGCAGUGGGGAAUAUUGCACAAUGGGGGCAAGUCUGAUGCAGCCAUGCCGCGUGAGUGAUGAAGUCCUUAGGGUUGUAAAGCUCUUUUAUCCGGGACGAUAAUGACGGUACCGGAAGAAUAAGCCCCGGCUAACUUCGUG
rnacentral:rRNA from 1 species